AGAUACCUGAAAUUCUGGUGACCUUUGCGUCUUCUCCACCGGUAAGUUCUCGAUUUCCUUAGCCAUUUGAUUCAUGCUUGUUACCGGGAUGUAGAUCUGAGCUAGGGGAAUCAAAGCCCUAACCCCUAGGACUCUGAUUCCAGAGGACUGUGAUUUAAUUUCUCAUUUUGUUUCUAGGGUUCAUGUACAAUCUGUUGCGAUUCGUUUAACUGGUGAAUAAUUGUUAGAAAUGGAUAUGGGAUACGGACUUAGGGCAACGAUAGGAAGAAGAUGACAUAGUUUUUUGGUGGUUUAGGGCUCCGCCGACGGCGUCGGUGGAGGAGACUUUCAGGUGAGGAGGGAAUUUGAGUUUGA
rnacentral:lncRNA from 1 species